rnacentral:lncRNA from 1 species
AAAAAAAAAAAAAAAAGACAUUUGCCCAAGGGUCAUAGCUGUAGGGGGGCAGAUGUGGUUUGAACCCAGGGCGUCUGGUUCCUCUCUGGAAGCAACCAAAGUGCCUGUGAUUGGGGUAGUGACAAAGCACUCUGAGCCGCUGCAUGGCAGAUGCUGUGAAGAGUCAUCUUUGCCUGUCCCAUAUCUAUUCCCAUUUUUUCUGAUUGCAACACCUUGUUUUUUUGUGUGUGGUGAGGGAACCAUGCCCUUUCAACCAAGCUAUGUGGUGUUCAUAAGGGUAGCCCCUCCUCCGACCCCAGGAGUGGCAGUUCACAGCCCUGACUGAUCACAGUGUUCCGUGGCCUAGCCGUAACCAACCCAGGGAGUGAGACUGAACUCAGGGGUUCAUUGGACCUGUCAGGAAAGAGAGACCUUUCUUGUUUCUGGACUUGGAGCUGUGAUGGAAGUAAGUGCGUCAGGGGCCAACACAUAGCGUUGGCCUACAAAUGCAGCCCAGGCAGAGGAUGGUGCGGCCAAGCCACACAGAGAGACAACUUCCUAGUGACACGCUGUGAACACCUGCAUCCACCCCUGCCUGAACUGGAGCUUUUCCUCUUCAGCUCUUCAGUUAUGUGAGGCAAGAUGUUGCCUUUUUUGCUUAAUGCUGUGAGUUGAGUGUACAGCAGUUACAAUCAAAGAAUCCUAAAUAAUGCUGCAAGCAUGGUAACUAUCUACAUGGGAAUAUGCAGUACUCCAGUGAAAACAAAACAUAAGUUAAUUUUGGAAUCUGAUGACCAUAAUCUAAAAACAUUCAUAGAGGUAUAUAAAAAUUAUAACAAAAUUUAAAGUAGCAUAUCUCCUCAUGAAGCAGGUUAAGUGUAUACACAAAGAAGGAGGAGGAAAAGGCGAGAAAGAAUCUGCCCUUGUGGGGAAGUGACAGAGGCAGAAGAGGCUGAUGCAGUCCUGCAUCCAGGCCCAGCUCUGCCAGCAGCUGAGUACCCCUGAACAAGCUCCCCCACCUCUUCGGGCCUCACUUUCCCCAUCUAUGAAAGAAAGGGAGUCUGGCUUCCAUAGCUGCCCCAGCUGAUACACAAGGUGCCAGCGUGUCCUCAGUCCUGUCACGAGAAACCUUUCCCCUAGAAUCCCAGGAUGAGCUUGAAAUCCUGUCUGGGAUCCCGACGGCCCAGGUGCUGACCCUGCCUCGGGUUGUGUCUGCUGAGAAGUCUGAUUUCUGCUUAUCUCUCCCCAUUUAUUUCUUCCCAUAAAGUGGGCUGAUGCGCUGGAACGUCAAUGCAGCCAGUGAUGUGUUUGAUGAGAAUGUAUUGAGUAAAGCUGCCCAGAAUCCAAGUGUGUGUCAUCUGAACUCUUGAAUCAUGGAUGGAAGAUGGUGAACCGAAACUUACAGAGCUCAAGUCACUUGACCGGGCUCCACCCCUACAAGAGGCAGCAUGCAAACUAAAACCCAGGCGGCCUUUUCCAAAGCUUGUGCUCUGCUCCACUGCGGGAAGGAACCCUUCGGGGAACUGAAGCAGCACUGAACAAAGGCCAUUUUUAAGAAGCGACAGCAGAAACCUAAGGCGGGGUCCCCGGCUCAACAAGGAUCUCAUGUUUUGUGGGUCAGAGAUUCUUGUGUCGUGUCUGGGUGAGGUCAAAAACCAUGCAGAGACUUUCACUUCCUGUUCUGUGGCAGACAAGACAUCUGAAAAGCUCUCCUGCAGCAACACUUCUAGAUGCCAACUCUUGCUGUUGUACUCUUUUGUGGUCUACACUGCGUUUAUGGGCUGUAACUAGUCGUCACAAAGGCCUGCGGUUUUCACUUUCUGCCUCAGCCAGCAAGACUGCAAACCCACCACAAAGAAAAACUUAAGAACCGUCACAUCCACCGUAAGGGUCUGCAGCUGGGUUUUUGAAGUCAGACCAAGAACCCACCAAUUCGGGACACACCAUCUGGGCAGCUGAAUCAAGACUUUGUGGAGGAGCUCCAAAGUGGGUAGAAAAGUACGUCCACACUUACAGGGAGAUGGGCACGCAGCCUCUUUCCUUCUCACCUCGGUAGAAAAAUAAACUUCUGUUCCCUAGGGUUUGGAUUUGGAAUUUAUUGUACCCACAACCAGCAGUGAGCAUAACACAAAAUGAUCCCAAGUGAUAAAAACCUUAAGUAUAGUAAGUAAUUUAAGUAAACAUAAAUUCUCUCUGGAGAAAACCAUGAUCUCAUGGCUAUUAAGAUUCCCAUUGAUUAAG